GAAAUGCGAUAAGUAAUGUGAAUUGCAGAAUUCCGUGAAUCAUCGAAUCUUUGAACACACAUUGCGCCCCCUGGUAUUCCGGAGGGCAUGCCUGUCCGAGCGUCAUUGCGAACCCCUCAAGCACGGCUUGUGUGAUGGGCCCUCCCGCGUCUUGGUCGUCAAGACGGGCCCGAAAUGCAGUGGCGGCUUCGCGGUUAUCCGAUCAGCCAGAGCGUAUGGGGACUUUCUCUCUGUCACACGCCCGCGGCGCGGACCGACGCCUGUCGACCUUUAUUCAUCUUUUUCUCGGUUGACCUCGGAUCAGGUAGGGAUACCCGCUGAACUUAAGC
rnacentral:misc_RNA from 1 species